UGGUCUGCGGUCGAUACGGGGAGGCUAGAGUUCGGUAGGGGAGAACGGAAUUCCUGGUGUAGCGGUGAAAUGCGCAGAUAUCAGGAGGAACACCGGUGGCGAAGGCGGAUCUCUGGGCCGAUACUGACGCUGAGGAGCGAAAGCGUGGGGAGCGAACAGG
rnacentral:rRNA from 1 species